rnacentral:rRNA from 1 species
UACGUAGGGGGGCAAGCGUUGUCCGGAAUCAUUGGGCGUAAAGCGCGUGUAGGCGGCUCGGUAAGUCUGCUGUGAAAGUCCAGGGCUCAACCCUGGGAUGCCGGUGGAUACUGUCGAGCUCGAGUCCGGAAGAGGCGAGUGGAAUUCCUGGUGUAGCGGUGAAAUGCGCAGAUAUCAGGAGGAACACCAGGGGCGAAGGCGGAUCGCUGGGCCAACACUGACGCUGAGACGCGAAAGCGUGGGGAGCGAACAGGA